rnacentral:rRNA from 1 species
UUUCGCAAUGCCCGAAAGGGUGACGAAGCGACGCCGCGUGAGUGAAGAAGGCCUUCGGGUUGUAAAACUCUGUCAGGAGUUAUGAAAUGUAGAUUCGAUAAUACCGGAUUUACUUGACAAAGGCUCCAGAGGAAGCCACGGCUAACUCUGUGCCAGCAGCCGCGGUAAUACAGAGGUGGCAAGCGUUGUUCGGAAUUAUUGGGCGCAAAGAGCACGUAGGUGGAUUUGUAAGUCAGAUGUGAAAGCCUUCUGUUCAACGGGAGAAUUGCAUCUGAAACUACAAACCUUGAGUGUAGGAGGGGAGAAUGGAACUUCUGGUGGAGCGGUGAAAUGCGUAGAUAUCAGAAGGAACGCCGGCGGCGAAAGCGAUUCUCUGGCCUAUUACUGACACUCAGUGUGCGAAAGCUAGGGGAGCAAACGGGAUUAGAUACCCCGGUAGUCCUAGCCGUAAACGAUGGGCACUAAGUAGAGGGGUUUU